rnacentral:rRNA from 1 species
UACAGAGGUCCCAAGCGUUGUUCGGAUUCAUUGGGCGUAAAGGGUGCGUAGGCGGCGCGGUAAGUCGGGUGUGAAAUCUCGGAGCUUAACUCCGAAACUGCAUUCGAUACUGCCGUGCUUGAGGACUGGAGAGGAGACUGGAAUUUACGGUGUAGAGGUGAAAUUCGUAGAUAUCGGGAGGAACACCUGUGGCGAAGGCGGCCAUCUGGACAGUUACUGACGCUGAGACGCGAAAGCGUGGGGAGCGAACAGG